CUAAAACAAAAACUCCAUCUUCUUAAUCUAAAACUCGCGUAUCCAUCUCAGUAUCUCCCUAUCUCCCUCUCCUAAAACUCCAACUCCCCAUCUCCCUCUAACCUAAAACUCUCUCUGAACGUUGCUUAUCUCUCCCUCCCUCUCUCUCUCCUUUACUCGAAUCUUCUUUCUCUCUCCCCGUUUCUCUGAAACCCAGAACUCCAAAAUUGAAAACCCCAAAAACCCCGUGAAGCGUAUUAUUGCUGCCGAAAUCCUACCGCUGGCGUCGUGCUGCUGUUGCUUAGUCUUGCCAGAACCCCGUUGGCUUCGUCGAAGCUUCGAAAAACCCUUCGAAUUCAUCAAAUUUCCAUCUUUUGCUUUGCGAGUGGAAAAAAAACCUAAAAAAGGGAGGAUUUGGUGAUUUAAAGAUCUGACGGAAAGGCCUGGUGAAGCUUCGAAGGAAAAAGCUUAUAGAUCUGAAAUAUUUUGGCUUUCUUCGACGUUCUCCAUCUCUAACAGAUCUGAAAGUGUCUGAAAUACUUUGGCUUUCUUUGCCAUUCUCCAUCUCCUACAGAAGAGGGCGACUAUUGACGGUGAAGAUUGAAGAAUAUUGUGUUUGCCUUCGAUCUUUAACAUCAUUCAGAUAUUAGGUUAUUUUUUAAAAGUUUUUCUCCUAGAUUGUAUUGGAUUAGCCUCCAAUUUUUUUUUUAUCUUUUUGGAUCUAUGUAAAAGUUGUAAUAAAUUGUAAAUUUUAAUGUUUGGAUAUUAAAUUUUGGUGUUUUUUGUGUGUUAGAUCUAAUUUGUUUUGGUUUCAAAUUGUAUAAUAAUAAUGUUCCUA